GAUGAACGCUGGCGGCGUGCCUAAUACAUGCAAGUCGAGCGAACAGAUGAGGAGCUUGCUCCUCUGACGUUAGCGGCGGACGGGUGAGUAACACGUGGAUAACCUACCUAUAAGACUGGGAUAACUUCGGGAAACCGGAGCUAAUACCGGAUAAUAUAUUGAACCGCAUGGUUCAAUAGUGAAAGACGGUUUUGCUGUCACUUAUAGAUGGAUCCGCGCCGCAUUAGCUAGUUGGGAAGGUAACGGCUUACCAAGGCGACGAUGCGUAGCCGAGCUGAGAGGGUGAUAGGCGGCACUGGAACUGAGACACGGUCCAGACUCCUACGGGAGGCAGCAGUAGGGAAUCUUCCGCAAUGGGCGAAAGCCUGACGGAGCAACGCCGCGUGAGUGAUGAAGGUCUUCGGAUCGUAAAACUCUGUUAUUAGGGAAGAACAAAUGUGUAAGUAACUAUGCACGUCUUGACGGUACCUAAUCAGAAAGCCACGGCUAACUACGUG
rnacentral:rRNA from 1 species